CUUACUUUUCCAGAGAUUUUCAUUCUCAAGGACGUUAUCAAUGUCACUGUCAAACAAACCACUUAGAAGAAAUACAAUGGCACAUUCAAUGACUGAAAAGGCAGAUGUCAAAGAGGAUGAAGAGACGAACCCGUUACACCAAACCAUCAGAACCACUUGACGAGGUCGCUAGUUGGGUUAAAGGAAUAGUCCACUCAAACUAUCUUUUGUAAUUAAAACGUUUUUUAAUCCACUGUUGCUGAAUGUUUUGCAUGUCAGCAAUCACGUUUUUCAAUACAUAGGACUUUCAAGAUGAUGAUGUCUUCAUGAUCAUAUGCUGCACUUUGCUUCUUGAAAGU
rnacentral:lncRNA from 1 species